UACGGAGGGGGCUAGCGUUGUUCGGAAUUACUGGGCGUAAAGCGCGCGUAGGCGGCUUUGUAAGUUAGAGGUGAAAGCCCGGAGCUUAACUCCGGAACUGCCUUUAAGACUGCAUCGCUAGAAUUGUGGAGAGGUGAGUGGAAUUCCGAGUGUAGAGGUGAAAUUCGUAGAUAUUCGGAAGAACACCAGUGGCGAAGGCGACUCACUGGACACAUAUUGACGCUGAGGUGCGAAAGCUAGGGGAGCAAACAGG
rnacentral:rRNA from 1 species